CGAUCAGUACAGGUGGUGCAUGGCUGUCGUCAGCUCCGUGUCGUGAGAUGUUGGGUUAAGUCCCGCAACGAGCGCAACCCUUAUUCUUAGUUGUUUCCCUUUGGGAUUACCCUCUAAGAAGACUGCCUCGGAUAACGGGGAGGAAGGUGGGGAUGACGUCAAGUCCGCAUGCUCCUUACGUCUAGGGCUACACACGUCCUACAAUGGGGUCGACAAUGGGAUGCAAUAUCGCAAGAUGGAGCCAAUCCCCAAACGGCCUCUCAGUUCGGAUUGUAGUCUGCAACUCGACUACAUGAAGUUGGAAUCGCUAGUAAUGGCAGAUCAGCAUGCUGCCGUGAAUACGUUCCCGGGUCUU
rnacentral:rRNA from 1 species